rnacentral:rRNA from 1 species
GACGGAGGAUGCAAGCGUUAUCCGGAAUGAUUGGGCGUAAAGCGUCCGCAGGUGGCAGUUCAAGUCUGCUGUCAAAGACCGGGGCUUAACUUCGGAAAGGCAGUGGAAACUGAACAGCUAGAGUAUGGUAGGGGUAGAGGGAAUUCCCGGUGUAGCGGUGAGAUGCGUAGAUAUCGGGAAGAACACCAGUGGCGAAAGCGCUCUACUGGGCCAUAACUGACACUGAGGGACGAAAGCUAGGGGAGCGAAAGGG